CAAUAGUAGCUAUGCUCUAUAUGAGCUUGGAUCUGAUGCACCCCCGAUGUCCCACCCAUAUAGAAUCAUGGUGCUCUCGCAGCACCUUGCACCUCAACCCUCUACCUGAACGCACAUAGACACAUCACCCCUAUGUCAAAAUCAACCCACCUUCGGUCCAAAAAUGGUGCACCUUGCCAUCCUUGAUGAGUUCACCCAUGGAUGUGGCCCAUGGAUCCUUCGCCA
rnacentral:lncRNA from 1 species